AUUGUCUUGCGCGAAGCGAAGACACGACCCGCAUUUACUCCCGGCAUUUACGGCUGGCCAGUCAUCACUCUGACGGCGUAUCUACUGCCGUCUGUCACGCGAUCGCUUUUUCUCCUUCAUCUUAAGCGCGCCUUUUUCUUCCUCCUCAUCUCUGUCUCUCUCUCUCUCUCUCUCUUUUUUUCUGUCUUUUUCUUUCUCUUCUCAUUAGUCUAUCGUGCUUUUGGUAAUUUCAUUCUAAGAACGCAAAAAUCUAAAAAAAAAGUAUAGUGUAUACGCGUGGGAUCGACGGAGGUGGAGAGGGAGGAGACGUUGUUCGAUCCACGAAUCGAUUUCGGGGGGUGGAGUCAACAGCGUUCGAUCUACGAUGUUUCGCUAAUUAGAAGAGUGCAUAUUUCUCGAUCUUGUCGAGCAGUACAAGAAAAAAAAAGCAUGAUCCACGAUUGAUCGCGAAGACACACUAGUCACGGAUAGAACUGCGAGACGAAAAGAUCGCUUUUUAGCGGGAAAAAGUGUUUAAGUGUUAGUGCGUUUAUGAAUGGAUAUCGAAAAAUAAUAUUGUGAUUAUUGUGAGAUCAACGCGUAGUGUUGGAAAGUGAAUUGAUAAAGCAGAAUAGAAACAUCGUCAAAAAACGAGUAAGGUCACUCCUUUCCGACUCGAAUUCUCUCUUCUUGCGAAGAGGUAUCUUUUUAAUUAAUACACAUCAACGACUUCGUAUAUAAUAUUGCUUCGUAUCUACUACAAUCUAUCUUGACUUUGCUUCAUUGUGGGAUUCCGGUAGAGUGAAUUAAUCUUUCACUCGACUUGCGAAAGGCAAGUUGUUACAACGCCAUUAUCUCCUUCCGAGAGGAGGACCCCUCGUCGAGUCAUUUAAUCUAUUGCCGUCCAAGCCUGCGCAACCCCGUUUGCAUGCUUCUUAGACAGAUAUCACAAAUAAAGGGAUUUUUUUUAUAAUCACGAAAAUCUGGCAUUCGAAGCAAAAUCAAAGGAUUAUGCGAGCAUAAUUAAUAAUAAAAUUUAAACGAACAAGAAGCUAAGAAGCUAAACACAUACAUUGAUAAAUCAGGAUUUCCCUCGGUGAAUUUAUUUUAGAGUAUCCGAAUCUCUCUUCAGUGAUAAAAUUCAGAGCAAUCUCAUCGAACUUGGGAUCUUGAGUUUGCGCCUCACGUGGCGUUUCCGAUCCGCACAUCGUGUCAUCCUUCUCUUCAGCGGAGUAUUCGAUAAAAAAAAAGUGGUCUCAACGCAACAAACGAUAGUCACGCGUUGCUCGGGUGGAGGCGGAAGUGGCGGCGGCGACGGUGGAGGCGGUGGCGGCGACGGCGACGGUGGUGGCAGCGGUGGCGGUGGCCAGGAGACGCUCGCGUAUGCGACCGCGUCUGACGCGGUAGAGGAAGUGGAAGUAGAGGUCGACGAGGUUAAGAUGGAAGCCGAGGACCAUCUAGCGAGAGAGUACGUGCAGGAGUUUGUUCUCGAUCAUCUGGAUCCCGCCGACGUCAAACGAGAAGUACGAAUGGGUUCGCCGACGGUAAUGGUUAACAGCAGCGUGGUGCAGCUUCCGGGACAGGUACAGUCGCAUCAGGGUCUGACUCUGGCGCCGCUGACGCCACCCGCGCACGAACUGGAGCAGCCUCAUCCGUUGUACGGUCAACCUCACAUUCAAAUGCAACACGGCGUCCUGGUGAAGGCGCCGCCGGUUGCUACGGCACAUCUCACCACGCUGUCGCAUCCGGGAACGCCGCCGGAUACGCCGCCCGUCUCGGCCUCGCCGCCGCCGCUGCAGCUGCAUCGCGGCGACCGGGAUCACCGGGAUGCGCGCGAUCCCCGCGAUCGCGGGGGUAUACUGCUGCAGCUGCAGCAGCCGCCGGCCACACUGGUCCAAGACGAGAUACAAGUGAGCACGGGUGGCAUGGGCUGGCUGACUCAGUCUUUGAGGCAGGAACCGCUAGACCUAAGACCUCACUGUCCUCAAGAGCAAACCCCGGAGCCCCAUCAUGAAUCCUGGUCGGCCGCGCCGGCACAUCAUCAUUUCCAAGAGUUGCAGCAUUUACAGCGUCCCACCAGGCACACAGGGGGAUACCUAGCGAUGUCGAAUCAUCUGGAGUAUUACAGCGGUUCGAGCGCAGGAGGAGGAAUGCUUCCUACGAGCGGAAGUGUGAUGCAGGGAAUGGAAGACAGUAUGCAGGGAAUACCGAUGCAACCGGGCAGACCGUUAAGUGUCUGUUCCGUGAGCUCCUGCGGUGCCAAUGGACCCAAUCCAGCCCAUCGUGUGAGCAAUGGCCUGUACUCCAAUUGCAGCAGCUCAAAUGCUCAGGAGGAACUCAUGGACGAUGAGCUCCUGAUGUCGCUUUCGGUGCGCGAGCUCAACAAACGUCUUCAUGGUUGUCCGCGAGAACAGGUUGUGCGAUUGAAGCAGAAGCGGCGGACACUGAAGAAUCGCGGUUACGCUCAAAAUUGUCGGAGUAAACGGUUGCAACAACGUCAGGACCUCGAGACAACUAAUAGGAAUUUGCAAAAUGAGCUUCAGCGUACAAAGAUCGAUGUGGCGCGACUUCAACAAGAACGCGAUCUUUACAAGCAAAGAUACGAGAUGUUAAGGGCGCGACAAAAUCACCAUCAUAAUCACAAUCAUAGCCAUCAUCAACAGCAGACAUUGCAGCAACAGCAGCAGCAGCAACAGCAGCAACAUCAAACUCAAAAUCAACCAUCGCAUCCGCAGCAGCAACAGCAGCAGCAUCAACCAGCACCCGCGAGUCCCGAAGUUUAUCUGUGACAUCGACAGCGCCGAGGAGGCGCUUGUUGGACUUGAAGUCAUUUGUUACGUCAAUGGAUUCUUCCAUUGGUAUCACUCAGAAGGCAUGCAGGACGUAAGGCGGUAGAACUUCAGCUUCCCUUUCAUCGAUUUCUUCUAUUCUUCGUCAUCGUGUCACUAUACAUCGAACCUUAUGGCCGUCUAUUGGCUGUGAGGGGAUGCGGCUAGUUCCUUCCUAGGCGUGUACUGACUGGUGAUUUAGUGAGAUCCGAUCAGUUGGACCAUAAAUAUCAGGUGUUUUUUUGCUCGCAUACAAACACACACACACAUACACAUACGCAUAUACUAUUUCUUCUUCGAAUAGAAUAAAGCGUCUGACCAGGGGGUAGUUAAGGGGACGGCAUUCGUCUUCUCG